CUAAUUCCAGUUUCUACAGUGGUACAACAAUGUGCUGAUACUCUGAAGCUUUGGAUCAACAGAGCCAAAAAUCAAGAAAAGCAGUCAAGAAUGUUGUGGAUCGACUCAUGGCCUGAUUAGUUCCUUUUCCUUUCUUUCUUUUCUUGUCUCUGCAUUCUCUGUAAUCUUCUGCAUGCUUUUGUAACCAUAUACCGUUUACCCACCGUGUAGGCUUAAGAUCAAUCCGA
rnacentral:lncRNA from 1 species